GCACUAGUAGCUCAGCGCAGAGCGCCGGUCU
rnacentral:tRNA from 1 species